UUCAGUUCUCUGGCUUUUGGAUAAGAUCAAGUGUAGUAUCCGUUCUUAUCAGUUUAAUAUAUAUAUAUAUAUAGAAAUACACAUAUAUAUUAUACAUACAUCCAGUGUCUUUACCAAUGUAUUUAUUCUUGGCACUUGAGUUCUAUCCAAAUCUUGGCCAAUGUGAUGUGUACUACAACAAACAU